rnacentral:rRNA from 1 species
GUAAGGAAUAUUGGUCAAUGGGGGCAACCCUGAACCAGCCAUGCCGCGUGAAGGAUGAAGGCGUUAUGCGUUGUAAACUUCUUUUGUAUGGGAAGAAUGACAGGGAUUUAUCCUUGGAGAGACGGUACCAUACGAAUAAGCACCGGCUAACUCCGUACCAGCAGCCGCGGUAAUACGGAGGGUGCAAGCGUUAUCCGGAAUCACUGGGUUUAAAGGGUACGUAGGCGGUUAAUUAAGUCAGUAGUGAAAGACUGUCGCUCAACGACGGAUGUGCUAUUGAUACUGGUGUACUUGAAUCAGGUUAGAGUUGGCGUAAUGGUUCAUGUAGCGGUGAAAUGCUUAGAUAUGACUUGGAACACCGAUAGCGAAGGCAGCUGACUGAGCCUUGAUUGACGCUGAGGUACGAAAGCGUGAGUAGCGAACAGGAUUAGAAACCCCAGUAGUCC